rnacentral:lncRNA from 1 species
UUCUGUUACUCUCGUACCAUGUAACGGCCAAUGGUUCGAAAGGUCGUGAACUGUUUGUGGUUCUUCUCUGCAAUUCAUAAAAGAGGAGAGACAUCAA